AUUGAACGCUGGCGGCAGGCUUAACACAUGCAAGUCGAGCGAGCGGCGGACGGGUGAGUAAUGUCUGGGAAACUGCCUGAUGGAGGGGGAUCACUACUGGAAACGGUAGCUAAUACCGCAUACCAUCAGAUGUGCCCAGAUGGGAUUAGCUAGUAGGUGGGGUAAUGGCUCACCUAGGCGACGAUCCCUAGCUGGUCUGAGAGGAUGAACAGCCAAAUGGGAACGGAGACACGGUCCAGACUCCGAGGGGAGGCAGCAGUGGGGAAUAUUGCACAAUGGGCGAAAGCCGGAUGCAGCCAGGCGGCGUGUUUGAAGAAGGCCUUCGGGUUGUAAAGCACUUUCAGCGGGGAGGCGUUACUCGCAGAAGAAGCAACGGCUAACUCCGUGCCAGCAGCCGCGGUAAUAC
rnacentral:rRNA from 1 species